CUUCCUCUCUGAGAAGUUUGCCUUACUGAUUAUCAAGAGGGUGUAAUUACCCUCCGACUAGACAGUCUAAAUGGAAAACACCUGCAGCUCUCUUCUUCGCAUGGAAACUCAGUCCUGCCUUAAAAGGCACUUACUUCUUUCCAGAAACCUCUCCAUUCAUCCUCAGGACCACAUUUCCAGUUUCCCUCUCCUCAACCUCAAAGUCAAUGCUUCUCAAAGAUAACACUCCUUACCUUGGCCUCCCAAACUCAGUUGUUACCAUAUAUCCAUAUAUUCCCUGUACAAGUUAACAGAAAAUCAUCUACUGAAUUCCUGGGAGUGGAAACUUGGGAGGCGUCCUGGAGGUCACUGGUCCGAUCCAGGGCAUCAGAGAGGAGAGUCCAACCCAGCCGGCUCUGCUUGGCCAGACUUCUUGUUUUUCAAACAACUCUGCCUCUGAAGGUCUCUGGCAGGACACGCAUCCCCGGGCUGCCCCGGCCCCCACCACUUGGCCCCCACCUGACGCUCCACACCUCACACAUUUCUGAGUCUGGGUCCUGCCUGAAUAUGCAUCCCUGAGAGAUGAGAGACUGGGUUUGCUGAGGUCAGAGGUGGCCUUGUUUAUCUUUGCAAAUCCCGCCUGGCCAGUAUGGACCUUAACCAACAGCAUAUAAAUAAUACUUUCCUACUAAAAUGAAUUGAAUCAUCAGCUUCUUUCCCCUCCUCCCCAUGCGUAUUCCCAGGACCCAAGUCUGAAAUGGUUUUCCAGUCUGUUAUCUGCACUGCCGUUCCCUUUGUGCAGGUUUCUGGUACUGCUGUCUGCCUCUGGUACGGUAAAAACCUGGCUGGGACCCUCGUCUCCAGUGCCCUCCCCACCUAAACAGCUUUCCACAGUGUGAUCCAAAGAUGAUCAUUUUAUUUCCCAGCUUAAAGGCCUUCAGCUUCCCUUGGCCUUCCUCACAGCCUUCAGUACGGCAUUCAAAGCCUUUUCAACCUGACUGCAAUGCUGUUCUCCUGUUUCAUUUCAGCUGCUCCUCCCCAUUUCCCUGACUCUGCUCCCCAGCCCACAACCAUCCCUCACGUCCAGCUCCUACGGGAGAAAGCCUAAGAGGGGCCCGGCCCCACUGCCGCGGAUGUCCUUCCCGGUCCCUGACCACCCCUGGGAACUCCGUUCCCGUGUCGCACCCUCUUUGAAGCCUUCCCAGACUCCUCUGAGGCAAUGACUGCUUCCUCCCCUGAGCUCCUGUAGCAUUCGGAUCAGAUCUUUAUUGUAGCAUUUGUUCUAUGAUAACCCCAAGCGCAGGUCACACGCACCCACUCACAAUUGUUGUGUGUGAGCUCAUCAAGAGCAGGGCUGUGUUUCUGGGUUUCAUUCAUAUUUAUAUCCUCUCCAGUGCCAAGCAUAUAGUAACUGUUCAGUGUGUUUUUGUUAACUGAAUAAAGUUUAUUUUAUUUCAGCUUGGCAUAGGUUUGAAGACCUGGUUUCAAGUGCUCACAGUACCAGGUGAGAGCCUAUGUGACUGCACGCAAUUUAUUUUCUCUCUCCAAAGUCAGUUUCUAUCACUUAUAAAAUGGGGUUAAAAAGUACAGCAUAGGGAAUACGUCCAUUAUAUUGUAACAUCUCUGUAAGUUGAUGGCUGGUAACUACACUUACAGUGGUGAGCAUUUAGCACUGUAUGUAAGUGUCAAAUCACUAUAUUAUACACCUGCAAUGACACAGAGUCAUCCUUUGCAGCAUUCCUGCUUCCUCUCUCCCCAUGACUGAUAUAAAAGCCAACACCCAGGGCUGUUUAUAGAGCAGGCACUAUGACAGGCCGCAGGUAGAAGUUGCUAGAUUUUCAUAUCAUGUUUCAGGAGGCUAGUGAGGGGAGAUUGAUAGUAAGUAAGCAUUCUAAAAAAAGUCCUUUUAGCAAACAGUUUUUGAGAUGGCAAGAGAAGGAUAUGUUUUUAAAGAAAAUAUAGGUAUUUAAAAAUAGAAACUAUACUAUUCAGGGUCGGCUGCAAGGCCCUCUCUGCUGCUAGUUCAAGCCUGGUUACUGAUGCCAGCAAACCACGUAUGAGCUGGAUAAGGCCUCUUUCAUUUCGGUUAAGAAAGAAUGCCAAGCUGGGCACUGCGGACUGGGAAUGGAAACCCUGCCCCUGUCUGCUAGGUUCUAAGAGCUUAUUAUACUAGCUUUGGGCAAAGGAAGUUAUUUAUAACCAAACCAUGGUAUGUAAAAAAGUGGUAAACUCCUGGGAAAAAAAAGGCUAAGAGUUCAGGGAAGCUGUGCAAUAUUUAGAUUGUUUGAACCAAUACAAACAAACAAAAACCAAAGCAGUUAAAAAAACAAAAA